CAUGCAAGUCGAACGAGAAUCUACUGAAAGAGUUUUCGGACGAUGGAAGUAGAGGAAAGUGGCGGACGGGUGAGUAACGCGUGAGGAACCUGCCUUGAAGAGGGGGACAACAGUUGGAAACGACUGCUAAUACCGCAUGAAGCAUAGGGGUCGCAUGAUUCUUAUGCCAAAGAUUUAUCGCUUCAAGAUGGCCUCGCGUCUGAUUAGCUAGUUGGCGGGGUAACGGCCCACCAAGGCGACGAUCAGUAGCCGGACUGAGAGGUUGAACGGCCACAUUGGGACUGAGAUACGGCCCAGACUCCUACGGGAGGCAGCAGUGGGGAAUAUUGGGCAAUGGGCGCAAGCCUGACCCAGCAACGCCGCGUGAAGGAAGAAGGCUUUCGGGUUGUAAACUUCUUUUAAGAGGGAAGAGCAGAAGACGGUACCUCUAGAAUAAGCCACGGCUAACUACGUGCCAGCAGCCGCGGUAAUACGUAGGUGGCAAGCGUUGUCCGGAUUUACUGGGUGUAAAGGGCGUGCAGCCGGGUCUGCAAGUCAGAUGUGAAAUCCAUGGGCUCAACCCAUGAACUGCAUUUGAAACUGUAGAUCUUGAGUGUCGGAGGGGCAAUCGGAAUUCCUAGUGUAGCGGUGAAAUGCGUAGAUAUUAGGAGGAACACCAGUGGCGAAGGCGGAUUGCUGGACGAUAACUGACGGUGAGGCACGAAAGUGUGGGGAGCAAACAGGAUUAGAUACCCUGGUAGUCCACACUGUAAACGAUGAAUACUAGGUGUGCGGGGACUGACCCCCUGCGUGCCGCAGUAAACACAAUAAGUAUUCCACCUGGGGAGUACGAUCGCAAGG
rnacentral:rRNA from 1 species